rnacentral:lncRNA from 12 species
GUUGGUUUCAGUUCCCUGACCUUGAGGCAUUUAUAGGUUUAGAUUUUGGUUUGCUUUUAAAGGGUGCCAGAGCAUUAGAGUCACCUCUAAUGGGCUCCUUGUUUAAUUAAUUUAACAGAAGAGUCAGACUCUCAUCAGCUGUUAGUAAAUUGAGGUCACUCUCCUCUCUGCCUGGGUCUCAAGAGUUUUAGAAGGCCCAGGAAGAGAAGGAGCCACUCUUGAUGAGUACAGACCGGGAUUUUGAAGGGUACCCAGCAUAGCUCUGAGCAUAUACCGAUACAUCUUGACCACCCUCCCCUGAGCCAGAAGUCUGGGGACUGCACUACUACCUUAUUUAUAAACAAUCAGAAAGUUCUCUUGGGAACAGGAGAUAGGUUUGUUUAGGUGGCUCCUGCUUGGCUGGGAAGGCCUCUGCUGGAUAUAGCUGCUCAGCUUAGUUCUCUGCAGCUUGGCUAAGUGGAGUUCAGCUUGAGGUCAAGCUCUGUUGAAGUUGGCAACGUGACAUAAUGCGGCCACUGGGCUCGUGAUAACCCCAGGGCUUCCCUUGGAAUUUGCUGCUGUCCUACUCUCCCAACUGACAUUGCAACUUCAGAAGGUUAUCUUGGGGCUGCACGAGACCAGCACCGUCCAUUCAAUGAAGAUAAAGCAAGCAGGAAGCCUACAGGCUGGGGUAGGUACAGACCCU